GAGGGCAUAGCUCAGUGGUAGAGUGCGUGCUUACCAGGCAUGAGGUCCUGGGUUCAAUUCCCAGCACCUCCA
rfam:Camelus ferus unplaced genomic scaffold scaffold386, whole genome shotgun sequence.